CUACUCCCUUCUCGACUCCCCUUCCCAUGCCCUAAAUAAACCCUAUUCUAUAUUAUACCCAUUGUAUGGCUGGUACCUCAAGGGGAAGGGAUGCCUCAGCCCACUGAGGCAUCCUUAUCACCUCAUCAUCUCUCACCCUAUAAAAACAUAUACCGCCUCCUCCCUUUUAAUAAAUUUAACACUGUGGCGACUUGGGUGUCAUGAGACUUGGAUUUAGAAACUCGCAGGUUCCCAUUUCCUGCAACUCAGAUUUACACACCUGCUGCCACAUGGACCCUCCAGGCAUCGGCUCACUAGACCUAUCUAUCCAAACACCGAUGAAUUGGUACAUCCAGGACAGAUAAUUAAACAAACACAGACUGCCUAACUCAGACAUGCUUAACAGAUUCCGGUUCUUAAUCUUGUCAGAAAUCUGCUAAAUGUAAUAUUAAAUGUUUAAGCUUAUUAUGAUAGACAAAGAGUCCCAAAGCCUAACAGUGACCACCACCACCACCACCCCACCACGACCCAAGGCCUCCAAGAAGAUACAAGCACAACGACAAGACUGCACGGGUUGUGGUAUGAUAACCACUGAGAAACACUGCUCCAUUCCCUUACCUGCUGCCAGGGCUCGUCCUAAACUGUAGACAGAGGAGACCUGGAGAAUUAAAUGCCUCAUAUUGCCUAAGACAGGUCUAUGUGUAUACAGGAAAGCAUACCCCAGUCCUUGACAAGAGCUGUGUUAAAGCAGUUUCUGGAGCUUCUUUUAAUUCUAUGAGAAGUUGUGUUUGGAAAUUGAGAAGAUCUCUUGGAAAGCAUUUGACCACCAGUCCACCAUCUGCUUCCCAGACCCUAACAGCUGUAUCUUACAAUGCUCUAGGAAGGCUAAAGAGUCAAGGUUUCUAUGAAACACCAGUGGCUACUAUAAUGGAAACAUGUGGCCCAGCUAUAAAGGCCACUAAAACUACAUUGCUCCAGCAUCCCCAUCUGCAGCGGCAUCCGAAAGAGGAGCAGCAUCCUUCCUCAGGACGCCACUGUUACUCUACAAGGGCACUGUGAAGGUCAUAGAGACCUAGAGCUGAAAAGUGGUGGUCACUUCUGGUCUUCUGACCGAGAAGAUGAAAACCAUCAGAGGGCAGCCACAGCAGCUCUGUUUAUUCCACCUGGGCACAGAGAGACAGAAGAGGAGGAAUGAGAGAAAACUUUUCGAUUCUGCAGAAAUCUAGCAAGGACGCGCUGAAGGAUUCUAUUCCCUUGAAGGUCAAUCUGUAACAACCCCAGCACCCAGGAAGUGAUUCAAUUCAGCUUAAGGACUGUACCUGGUAAUUACACUCCCUUUAAAUCUGUACCGGAGUUGUAAAUGGAGAAAAAAGCCUCCCCAGGAUUCUUUCUAAAAGGCAAUUUCAAAACAGUUUAAGAGGCUUCAAGGUACACGCAGUUCUUUGAUAUGUGGGCAUGUGGCAAUUAAAGGCUAUUCGCUGUAAUUAUGUGCAAAUAAGAACGUCCCCCUUUAAAAAAAAUAAAUGAAAUAAAGUAAAAUAUCCACCCUG